rnacentral:rRNA from 1 species
CCUACGGGGAGCUGCAGUGAGGAAUAUUGGUCAAUGGGAGGAAUCCUGAACCAGCCAUGCCGCGUGCAGGACGACGGCUCUACGAGUUGUAAACUGCUUUUGUACCGGGGUAAAAUGCUCUACGUGUAGGGUUUUGAAAGUACGGUAAGAAUAAUGAUCGGCUAACUCCGUGCCAGCAGCCGCGGUAAUACGGAGGAUGCGAGCGUUAUCCGGAUUUAUUGGGUUUAAAGGGUGGGCGGGCGGAGUUUUAAGUUCGCGGUCAAAUCGUGGGGCCAAACCCCAUCCAGCCGUUGAAACUGGGGAGCUAGAGUGUGCGAGAGGUAUGCGGAAUGCGUGGUGUAGCGGUGAAAUGCAUAGAUAUCACGCAGAACCCCGAUGGCGAAGGCAGCAUACCGGUGCACAACUGACGCUCAGGCACGAAAGCGUGGGUAUCGAACAGGAUUAGAUACCCUAGUAGUC